rnacentral:rRNA from 1 species
GACGAACGCUGGCGGCGUGCUUAACACAUGCAAGUCGAACGGAAAGGCCCUGCUUUUGUGGGGUGCUCGAGUGGCGAACGGGUGAGUAACACGUGAGUAACCUGCCCUUGACUUUGGGAUAACUUCAGGAAACUGGGGCUAAUACCGGAUAGGAGCUCCCGCUGCAUGGUGGGGGUUGGAAAGUUUCGGCGGUUGGGGCUGGACUCGCGGCUUAUCAGCUUGUUGGUGGGGUAGUGGCUUACCAAGGCUUUGACGGGUAGCCGGCCUGAGAGGGUGACCGGCCACAGUGGGACUGAGAUACGGCCCAGACUCCUACGGGAGGCAGCAGUGGGGAAUAUUGCACAAUGGGCGGAAGCCUGAUGCAGCAACGCCGCGUGCGGGAUGACGGCCUUCGGGUUGUAAACCGCUUUCGCCUGUGACGAAGCGUGAGUGACGGUAAUGGGUAAAGAAGCACCGGCUAACUACGUG